rnacentral:misc_RNA from 1 species
ACAAUGAAUCUCCAGAAAAGGAAUCGAAAAUGCCAUUGCCCUUUAGACAGGAGAGACAGAAAAAAGGGAAGCCAUAUGUAGCUCAGGAAUGCUUCUUUCUGACCUCUAUCCUUGCUAUAAUUAUGGGAUAUUAGAGCCUGAGCUCAUAGCAGAAUCCUUUGACUCUACAGACGAGUUACAUCUACACCAUUGUUUUCUUCCUGCAAUAUUUGUCUGUGCAUGUUGUAGCAGCUAUGACGAAAACAUUACUGUAAAUUUCCCUUCUACAUCCAUCACUCUCAAUGCCACUGAAGUAAGCUUCCCUCCUCUAGAAGCAAUAAAAUUAAGACUGGAAAAAAUGUUGCUACCUUGGUCAGUGUAUUUCCCCGUUAACUCUAUUAAUCAGGCCAAAAUUCUACAUACCCAAUGUUUCGUUCUUGAGUUUGAUGCAAUAA